UACGUAGGGUGCAAGCGUUGUCCGGAAUCAUUGGGCGUAAAGCGCGCGUAGGUGGUCAUGUAAGUCCGCUGUGAAAGUCAAAGGCUCAACCUCUGAAAGCCGGUGGAUACUGCAUGACUAGAGUACGGAAGAGGCGAGUGGAAUUCCUGGUGUAGCGGUGGAAUGCGCAGAUAUCAGGAGGAACACCAAUAGCGAAGGCAGCUCGCUGGGACGUUACUGACACUGAGGCGCGAAAGCGUGGGGAGCGAACAGG
rnacentral:rRNA from 1 species